UUUGGGGGGAGCUACGUUUGAGGGUGGGGGUGAACUAAAGUGCGUUUGCCUGUCGGCAGGCUCAAGAGCUGAGAAACAUUAGCUGUCAUGAACCACAAUCAAAUCAGGUUUGAAAUAUUUAGCAGUGGCUUGGAAAACGCGGCAGUGCAGCUCUGACAGGCGAGAUGCGCAGACACCCACUUUCCAUUAUAAUGGAAAUAUCAGGCCUGUUCUGAAUAUGUAUAACCCAGAAAAAUGUAUUGAUUUUUCAUUCGGCAUUAAAAAAAAUGAAGUAGCCUGCAGCUGUCAAAAGCCUUUUGUUAAAAGCUCGUCUUUCCUGGAAUGAGGGUUACCAGAAACAAGUUUUAAUUGUAUAUUGGACCUCUUCUUUGAAAAACAAAAUAACCAAUCUGCUUACUUUGAAGAUAGGGUUCAAGCUUUUCCUUUCCCCAUUUUCAACCUAAUUAACCAAGCACAAGCGCCGACGCGGACGGGUAAGGCCCGGCACGCUCUGACCAGCAGCAUGGACGC
rnacentral:lncRNA from 1 species